GACGAACGCUGGCGGCGUGCUUAACACAUGCCAGUCGAACGGAAAGGCCCUGCUUUUGUGGGGUGCUCGAGUGGCGAACGGGUGAGUAACACGUGAGUAACCUGCCCUUGACUUUGGGAUAACUUCAGGAAACUGGGGCUAAUACCGGAUAGGAGCUCCUGCUGCAUGGUGGGGGUUGGAAAGUUUCGGCGGUUGGGGAUGGACUCGCGGCUUAUCAGCUUGUUGGUGGGGUAGUGGCUUAACAAGGCUUUGACGGGUAGCCGGCCUGAGAGGGUGACCGGCCACAUUGGGACUGAGAUACGGCCCAGACUCCUACGGGAGGCAGCAGUGGGGAAUAUUGCACAAUGGGCGGAAGCCUGAUGCAGCAACGCCGCGUGCGGGAUGACGGCCUUCGGGUUGUAAACCGCUUUCGCCUGUGACGAAGCGUGAGUGACGGUAAUGGGUAAAGAAGCACCGGCUAACUACGUG
rnacentral:rRNA from 1 species